UAGGGAAUCUUCCACAAUGGGCGAAAGCCUGAUGGAGCAACACCGCGUGAGUGAAGAAGGGUUUCGGCUCGUAAAGCUCUGUUGUUAAAGAAGAACACGUAUGAGAGUAACUGUUCAUACGUUGACGGUAUUUAACCAGAAAGUCACGGCUAACUACGUGCCAU
rnacentral:rRNA from 1 species